GGAAUUGUUCACAAUGGGCGCAAGCCUGAUGACGCAACGCCGCGUGGGGGAUGAAGGUCUUCGGAUCGUAAACCCCUGUCGAAUGGGCCGAAUGACCUCUGGGCUAAUCACCAGAGGAAUGACGGUACCGUUAAAGGAAGCCACGGCUCACUCUGUGCCCGCAGCCGCGGGAAUACAGAGGUGGCAAGCGUGGGUCGGAAUUACUGGGCGUAAAGGGCGCGUAGGCGGCCAUCUAAGUCAGACGUGAAAUCCCCCGGCUUAACCUGGGAACUGCGUCUGAUACUGGACGGCUUGAGUAUGGGAGAGGGAUGUAGAAUUCCAGGUGUAGCGGUGAAAUGCGUAGAUAUCUGGAGGAAUACCGGUGGCGAAGGCGGCAUCCUGGACCAUUACUGACGCUGAGGCGCGAAAGCUAGGGGAGCAA
rnacentral:rRNA from 1 species